GCGGGUAUCGUAUAGUGGUUAUUAUGUUAGCUUCCCAAGCUGAAGAUGGCGGUUCGAUUCCGCUUACCCGCU
rnacentral:tRNA from 1 species